GGAAAAGGCUGAACUGGGAAUCAUUCCAGCUGGAGUCCAGUCCGAUCCCACCGGGAGCCCUGGAGCGAGAACUGCACCAGAAAGAAUGCUCCCCUUGAGGCCACAAGACGUUGAGGCAAGGAGAAAUGAAGCCAGGAAGGGAAGACAGUGAACACAGGGUGCUUGUUGUUUUCACAGGUAACAUUGGAGCUGUGGGUUAACAUUCAGCUACCUCUCUCGGCUUCCUGAUGUAUUCACCAAAAAAUGUCCUAGGGUAGGUUCAACCUUCGUGCCCGAGUUUGGGCAUUCACUGUUGAGUUUCUCAUUUAUUUUCACCUGUGUAGCAGACAUUGCUGGCGCCCUGCCCACAGGCCCUUG
rnacentral:lncRNA from 1 species